UCAGCAGAUGAAAGGCAUUUUAGAGGCAGCCAAGCAAGGUCUUCAUUCAGUAAUAAACUAAUCUAUAUCUGCUCCUCACUCCCCAUCCAACCCUCAGUAGCCCCUCACCCCCACUCUAGACCUCAGGCUAGGGCCUCCCCUCCCCACCAGAUAUUUGGUCAGGGUUAGUCUUCAACUGUAGACUAUGAUCUUGCUCUCACAUUCUUAGCUUGUGGAUGAUUUUCUGCUCCAACUUCCUAAAAUACACUUUCUUUGACCAAUAGUAGGAUCAUCUGUUUGGAGGGUCUCACCAGUAACAGAGCCAACUGCUCUUCUUAUCAGCUCCAAACCCAAAGAGAGAGACCUGAAUUGGAGAAGCAUGAAGGAAAGAAUAUGGGUCUUCCAGGCAGGACCCAGCCUUGCCCCAAGGCAUCAGGCCAGAGCUCCCUUUCCUUAUCUUUGUCACAUGCAACAGGGCAUAACCAGAGCAGUGAAUCCAGUAGAUGGGCACUGUCUCUGACCAUCCAGCCAGUUCUCACGGAUACAGUAGAGGGUGGUGUGAUUGAUCUCCAGAACCUGGGGGAAAGGAGGUCAGAGCUGAGCACGCAGGUCUUCUCCAUCCACAAAUCCUCCCCCUCCCUCCAGCCUUCUCCUUUCCUGCUUCGACAGAGGCUGCUACAGGCCCCAAAGUCCUGAGAACAGAAGGGGGCAAGAGCUGAGUCAGAGUCUGGGCAACGUUCUUGUUCCCAGGGAGCGCUGGGUCUGGGGUCAUCUCUUCAGCUUGUCCACCUGACCGCAAAUAGAGAAACCCUGUGGAUGAGAUCAGAUGGACUCGUUUCUGCCCCCUGCUCCUAAUCCAGCUUUUCGUUCAUCUGGCAAAUACUCGUCAAAUCUAUGUGUCACAAAUCUCCACGACACGCACUGAAAGGAGGAGCUCGUGUCCAGGGGAGACAGACCCCGGACGUAGAGAAACACUCACAGCAUGACCUGGGUGCUGGGAAGAGACUCACUGGCCACUUGUAAUGAGGCCAGGGAAAGUGUCACAGAACAUCGUGGAGGAAGAGAGGGCUUGAGGGCCCUUUCAAAGCGUUUGUCGAGCCGAUUGGUUUCACUGGGUGCAUGGCGUCAAGGGCUGCACCUGUGGGUCCCGGGAACAGUGGCGGCUCUUGGAGGUGUACCAGUUAGCCCGGUCGGGUGAGACCGCUCUGACCAAAGAACAGAAGCAUCGGCCACAGACCUGGAAUCUUUUAGUGGGAAAAAAUAUUUAGAAAAUGAAAUCUGCAUUCCAGAAUUGAUCAUUGCCUCUGGGAUGUUACGGUGUUUAGACUAGCAGAAAAUGUGUUUUGAAAAUUGUGAGUUCAAGAUGGUGAUGGUUGCACAACAA